GGAGUUCCGCUGCACGUGUUCUCUCCUGCCUGCUGCCAUGUUAGGCGUCACUUUGCCCUUCCUUCAUCUUCCGCCAUAGUUGUGAAGCCUCCCCGCCAUAUGGAACUUCCUUCUGCCAUGGAAUGACACAGCAAGAAAGCCUCACAAGAUGCUGGCCCCUCAAUUUUAGACUAUCCAGCCUCCAGAACUGAGAUGCUGACACUUUCUUCACAGAGUUAAACACAUACCUGGCUCAAGGGUUGGAGAAGCUGAAAAAUCUUGCAGGAGUUAGAGGAACUCUGGACCAACUUGCUUGCUGCCUCCUGCCAACAACGAGAGCAGGCCGAUCUCUCACACUGUAUGUGAGCUGCAACUGCAAGUGACCCUACUGAAUUUCCACGAGUGAAACAUAGCUGUCGCUUCAUUCUGUCUUCUAAAUCUGGCAGAAAUUUCUCUUGUUGCUCAUCUUAGGCCAAAGCUAUACUGGAAAGGAGUUUUGACAGACUUAGUUCUAGCUUAACUCAACUAAACAGU